AGAAGAGGGCUUCGUCAAGGAUCCCAUGAUGGAGGUCAACGUGGGAGGCUGCUUCCUCCGAUCCCAGAUCGACCAUCCGUCCAUGGAGGCCAUGAGAGCCACGUGGGCACACACAUGGCUACGCUUCAAGCUGCAGCUCGAUAGAUGCAGGGACGCCGCCAUGGAACAGUCAGGGCCUCCCUUCUCUUCCAGUUUAGUCCGAUCCACCACUGCCAGCCAUUUCUGGAGCCCCUACUCCAAAGCGGUGGUAUGGCCACGACCCUUCCUUCCCUCCUUGCAGCGUUUUAGCCCCCCCUUCCUAUAGCUAACAAACUAGUUUGCUUUGACGAUCCUAUCAUAUCCUAUUCAUGGAGUAGCUUGGAUUUGGUUUCAGUUUACUAUGUACAUGCAGGGAUGGUUGGUUUCAGAGAUGGUCUAGGCGCUAACAGCAACCCAGGGGCCGAUCCAGCAUAGGUAUAUGACAAAAAGUACUGCUUCAUGCUUGAGUUCAGACUUCAGAGAAUACGCGGAGUGAGUUAACAACUCAGCUUCAGUCCAGAUAAACUAGUCUAAGCAAGCCAACAGUUCACCAAUCCCCUCCAAAGUUCCAAUUUGAAAUUGCAUUCAUGUGUAGCUUCUGUUUGGAUUUAGAGAUGUAUCUUUGUAAAUAGAACUGUCCUUAUGUAAUUGAUUUCAUUAAUAAAAGAAUAACAAAUGAAUUUUUUAAAAGCAAAUGUAGGCUGAAACCGAAAAUAGAGAGUAGAUGUUAGGGUGAAUUUUUUAACACCCAAAGUUGAAUUCUUGGAUCCGCCACUUCAACAACCCCGGGGAUUCAACAUGCCCCCUCGCUGGCGGUGGUGGCGGCACUCAUGCUAAGCUGAGAGACGGUCGACCUGCUGUCAUCAAUGCUGUCACGGCCUCGACCACGGUGACCACAGCCAUAGCGGCCACGGCCACGACCACGACUAAUUUAUUUUUCUGUUUUGGAGUGUCCCACAUUUGGUGUAAAUAGUCCCAAGUUUUCCUUUUCACUAUGUAAAAUAUUACCAAGCUAAUACCAGAACCACUGUCCGGACUUCUUAAAAGCAUAUGUGCCUAUACUAAAGCAUACUGUCACAUUCAGCUUAUUUAACCUUGGUAGUUUGCUUACUACGUUUGGGCUAGGUUAUUGCAUCUGUAUGUAUGGGGAGUAGCCUUGUCAGGAUGGGCUCUAAUUGGUGUGUCAUGUGUAUGCCUCACAGCUUUAGUAUACACUUGAUUACAUUUUAUUGAUGUACACAUAUAUAUGCUCCGUUUGAUCUUUGAAGCCUAGCUUUCAAUUUCUAAAUCAAAAUUAUAGACAUAUGUUAUGCUAAAAGACUUUUGUUCUGCAUGCUUUUGUUCUGCACGCUAUAACACAAUUUGAUUUCAUUUCUUUGAAGCCUAGCUUAGUUUUGCUUACAACAGCUUCAGUAUAGACUUGAAUAGAUAUUUUUCCGGUUACUUUUUUAUGCCUGCUUUAAGUAUCAUGUUUCUUCUUAAAUUGACUCAAAUUAUGAUAUUACGUACAGAAGGGCACAAUGAUGAAUUCAACGCACAUCAGAUGCCUAAGAAAAGGACUGGCAAAUAAAAUAGGAAUCCAAACUUGCAAAAUUCUCUUUUACAAACCGCUAGUACUACUGGGACUCUAGGUACAAGGCACAAUGUAAUUGCUCCAAAUACGCUCAUACAAGUUGCAACCAUGAAUUCUCGAAUGUUUCUAGCAAUGCAGGAUCCAAAGAUUUAGCUGGAAUGGACUCUAGACCACGAACAAUUUAAACUUUGCUCUUAAUUAGGAUGGCACAUUCAGUAUGUUGAAUGCAUGCUAAAUUAUAUUACAGUUUAUUGUGAUGGAUAUUUGCUAUGCAAACUUUGAUGUCUGAUGAAUCUAUAUCAUAUAUGCAUUAUUUGAA